GACAGAGGGUGCAAACGUUGUUCGGAUUUACUGGGCGUAAAGCGUGUGUAGGCGGCUUCGCAAGUUGGAUGUGAAAUCCCACGGCUCAACCGUGGACGUGCAUCCAAAACUGCGUCGCUGGAGUCUCGGAGAGGAAGGUGGAAUGCUUGGUGUAGAGGUGAAAUUCGUAGAUAUCAAGCAGAACACAUGCGGCGAAGGCGGCCUUCUGGACGAUGACUGACGCUGAGACACGAAAGCGUGGGGAGCAAACAGG
rnacentral:rRNA from 1 species